GCGUAAUUGGUUUAGUGGUAAAAUUCUCCGUUGCCAGUCACGUGCACUUCCUUCCUCGAUCGACAUCGAUAUAACCUAUUUUUAACCAAUAAUCUCUUUACGCCAAUAGGGUUCCUUCGGAACCCCAUUUGGCGUAAAGAGCCCUGGGUUCGAUUCCCAGAUUACGCA
rnacentral:tRNA from 1 species